UUCAUUAAACAUCCAGUGCUCACUUAUUCAAGUAAGCCUAUCAACUAUGAUAGAACUAGGACAUAGUUAUAGGCUAAUGCAAAAUAAAAUUACACUUUUUCCUUGCCCUUCACGCUAGGGCUUGGAGGUUUUCCCGAGUACAGGACAUUGAGAACAGCUUCUGCUGGCACUUUAUUGGCUUUUGGUGGGUUCUUGUUCUUCGAUCCGAGAGGCCUGCCUCUCUUCUUCUUCUUGUACUCCACCAUGGUGGUUUCUUUUGGGACAGUAGCUGUGAGCCCCCGAAAAUUUUGUUUAAUUUUUAAAGGUAAUGUUUUUGCCAAUAAGAUUUUUCACCAGGUGAUUUAAGUGAAGAAAUUUACCUUGGAGAUCAAUUCGGUGUCGAGACUUCGAUUUGGGCCUUAUAAUUUAAGUCUGAGCCAGAGUCCUUCGUUUUGGGCCCAGAAGGUUACAGAAGUUUAGUGAGACGACAAUUUGUUGAAUUUUCGAAGACGAUAAAUCGAGUUGUAACAAAGUUUUGGAUUUUGAGUUUUUACAAAAUCGAGUUUUGGGCUUAGUACGAAGUCGAGAAUUAAAUUAGGAAGUUUCCGACGAAAAAUGAAUAAAAGAAAAGUUACGAGCCUCAAACUGAAAGCUUUUAGCUAGAGGAGUUUUAUAAUUCGUCGGAAGGGUAAAAUUGGUAUUUCACGGACACAAGUAUAAAUAGAAAGUAUCCUAGGAGAAAACCCUAGAAUCCCAUUCUCUUCCUCUCUUCUCUCUCGGCUGCAUCGCUCUCUCUCUUCCCCGACCACUCUCUUUCUCGUCCUCCCACUGUAGCGCCGGAAAACCCCAUCUCCGGCCACCACCUCGCAAAACCACCACCUCCAAUCGAUCCAGCACCCAAAUCCUACCCAAGCCCAAGCCUCACCAUCGACAUGCACCGCCUCCGGACUCCACCCGCGACCACCCAAGGCUGCGACGCUGCUACCUCUCAACCUCCAUUGAUUUCUGGCCGCCUUUUCAAUACAUCGCCGCCUCCAGUGAGCUCAGAGAGCACCGACCAUCAAGCGCCCAGCAUCCUAUCACCAAAAUACUUCGGAAGCACAUCGCCGGAAAUCGAGCUCUGCAUGCCUUCGUUCUUCAAUCUCCAGUCCGAGACGAGCCAAACCACCACCAUAUAUGGAGUCAGCAUCUCUCCCUUGACCAAAACCCCAUAACCCCAACCUCCGACUCCGACCAGAGCCGCCGUACGGGCUGCACACGCCGCCGCUAACGCUUGGACCACCGUAGCUCCGCCGCUCACAGUCGCUAAGCCUUCAGAUUGUCUCUGUUAGGUAAUUUGCGUUGCCCUAUUCUUGGUUGAGGCCUCCAAUUCGAUUUAGAUUAAAAACCUAAUUUCUGUUGCGAAAUUUGGAUUGUGUGAGGUUUGGAGAAUCUGGGUUUUUGGGCUUGAAGAGGAGAGCCUGGAGCUGAGGUUUCGAUUGAGUCACCCUUGAAGAAGAAAUGGGGUUCGAAUGGUUGAUGGUGUUUUGGUGCAGCCAUGUUAAAUCGACUUCUAGUUUUGGAUAGAAGAAUGGUAAGGGACUGCAUCUUGGAUCUGUUUGGCUAUGUUCUUUGUAGUGGUCGAAAAGUGUAUGGAUAUGUUGUUGAGUAGAUUGGAAUUGAUCGGAAAUUGUCUUGAUUGAUUUAAUUAGGAAAGUGGUUAAUGUUGAAUUUGUGAUGAUUAAGAGCAGUUUGUUCAAGACGGUAAGCAAUGACAAUGUCUAUAACUAUCAUUUCGGAUACUAAAGGAUACUACGGUUGUAAGAAAAGAAGUGAGUUUGUUAUUGAUAAAGAAAAUGUAAAUUGCUCAAGUUCAUAAGAAAUUGGUAGCCGAAAUGAAGUUAUAUUGAUUAUUGAUUAUUGGACCGAUCUUAUUAAGAAAUCCGUUUUGUAAGUACAUUGACAAUGAAAAAGGGAAAUUAAGGAAGCUAAGGUAUACCAAGAAAAUAGAAAGGUCUAACGAGUUGACCUAAAAAUUUAAUUAUGGAUCAUUGAUUUGUUAAAUUAUCCAUGUCCCGAAAAUUGAGAUAAAUUUAUUUAAUGGAAUGUUCGGGAAUGGAAAUUGUCAAUUGUUUUCUUGAAGUAAAAGGUUAAAGAAAUGAAGGUCAAAGUGUUAAGUAUAAUGGCCAUAUAUAUCUUAAAUGGUUCAAAUGCCAUAUCAUUUGAAUUAUUUGGGAAUGGAUAAUAGGCUUUAUCUAUUAAAGAGGAAUUCGUUAGAUUUCAAAGAAAUUAAAUCAAAGUUUUGGUUGUUCGGUUAAUACGCUAUGAUAAUGUGAAGUUACUCAUUAGUUUGAAUUUAUUUCAAAGGACUCGAGCUUGUGCACAUGGAAUUGGACGAAGUAUCCAAAGUCGGAAAUGAAGCUAAGUUUGGGCGAGCACUCCAAUUCCAGUGUGCAGGUUUCGAGCAUGUGGUCGGGGAGCGUACAGAGGAGGCACAUGGCCCGGCUUGGCGCAUUCUUCUUUAAUUUUAUCAAAAGAAGGUUUUGGUCCUUUAUCGGAUUUUGAAGUAGCUUGUUUGUUUACUUUUUAUUUAUUUCCUACUCGUUAACCAAAACUUCGAGAGGCCCGUAACCCUGGGGCGCGUCUUUCUCACUUGUAGAUACUUAGUGAUUUGUUUUCCAAAUUGGGCUCCGAUUGUAAGC